UGUCUGUCUACCUCAUUGUGUGUCUCUGUUUCCUGGCUUCAGGUGCAAUAUGACUAGCUCCCUCUGUUUCCAGCUGCUACAGCUUCCCUGCCACAAUGGACUGUACCCUGGAACCCCGAGUCAGACUAAAUCCUUCCUUCUUGAAGUUGAUUUUGUUUGGCUGUUUUAUCUUUUCUCUCAGCAGCAAGACAAUAGCAAAGAUGCUGGCUAACCUAAAGAGCCUGGAAGAAGUCUCCAGGGCCUUGCUUUCCCAGGCCCCACAACCCACCUUGACUAUACUGCACAGCAGCAUCCCAGUGGUAGAAGGAGGCAGUGCCUUGGGAAAGUUGCAGUGGUUGUCUGUCUGUCUGGGCACACUGCUCGGACAUGAACUCCAGCUGAGUCUUCUCACAAGCCUGGCCAGAGGAGGCAGAAGACAGGUGGUACAGGCGGGGUUGUGGCCAAUGGGAGACAGCAUGCAUCCUGCAUGCAGUCAAGAGACAAUAACUCAGCCCCAGGCUGUGGCUUAUCUCUGUUCAGUAGUCUGUAGGUGACCAGAUCUGCCUUUCUUUGUGCAUGGGGAAAUUCCAGAUAAUAUGUAAAGGACACAGCAGCAACAGCGGGAAGAGAAAAACAGGACACAAUGUAGCACUUGGGUCUGGUUCCAAGUCCUGAACCUGAGGAAAUGUGGUUGAGCUGUGUAUUUUCUUCCUAGGAACAUCCAGGGCAGGAACUGAGGAACUGCAGAGACACUGCACUACCUCACUGCACUGGGAAGGAAAGGCUUGGAGGUGACCACACGGGGAGACAUGACAACCACAGCUCCCUCCUCUCAAGGUCUGAGACCCCUUGGGCAUUUAGCAGAAAAAGGGCCAUGAGCUCCAGCUGACCCUCAGCUUCUAUGGGAGAGUUCAACUCACCGUGCUCAAAUGUACUGACUUGUGACCACAAGCCCUGUGAGUGGGAGGCCCUGUGUCCAGAGGCUUGGAGGGAGAGCCCACAGACCCCCCAGGGCCCUGAGCCCAUCUUCCUGCACGGGUCAUAGCCCAACACCACUCACGAUAUUGAGAUUAGUGAGCACGUAGCGUUCUGUGUCCUCCUGAUGAGCCCGGGAAACAUCGGGGCCCACAGCUACCAGGAGUUCCAGGUGCAGAAUGUCCUCCAAAGUCCUUCUCCGUCUCAGUCUCUGGAGAGACUGCCUCUCACUGCACUUGCAGACACCCUGUACCCUCCGCCCAAUCCUCUGCCCCAAGUCCUUUUUGAGCUGUCCAUCUGGUCUGCACCUGUGUUGGGAGCCGACUCCUAGUAGAAAACAGCUGUCAUCUCUGCAGCCAUCUCAGGCUAUUUACUAAUAGACCCCGUUGACUGUUGGGAACAAAAUAAAGGCAGACGCGGAGAGACUGCCGGAUGCUUUUCCACUCAGCCCGGUCUCUUUCAGCCCCAGCCUGUCUCCCAGGUGUGCAGGGUUCAUGUAGGCCAAGGGCUGGCAUACAACAAAUUAUGACCACUAGGGUUCAGACCUCAGCUCGACUGGAGACCAGCCUGCAAUUCCCCACAGUUUACUGACUCUCAGACCAGCUGGCAGGAGAGUCCUGGAGCAGGUAAGUGGCCCUGCAAGUACUGUCACAAGUUGCCUGGCAUCCCACUGCACCCUCUGGGAAUUUCUCAUCUAUUUGCUCCAAAACAUUCUUGCACACCCUUCACCCUGGCAGUACCCUAUUACUGUUGGGAUAUUUGGGGAGUUAAACUUAGUUGUCAACAAGAUUGGAUCUGGAAAGGACUAAGAGAUGGUACAGUUCCAGAUGGAUCUAGGAGUACUUCCUGGAAAGGUUAACUGAGAGAAGACCCUCCUCUAGCGUGGGCAGCCCUGUCUGCUUCCACUCCUUGCUCAUGAGUACAUGUAUCCUGUUGCUGCUGCUAUUGCCACCACCAUCCUUCAAUGACAUCAGAGCCCAGCUUCUUUGGCCUUCUAACACAGAAUGGAGACAAGAGAGUCUUCAGGAAUCCUCCAGACCUUCAGUGCCAACUAGAACUUCCGGCACAUCCAGCCUCAUGGACUGAGCAGUUACCAGAUUUUGAUGGCAUGUACUGAGGACCCAGACUGGAUGAGAUGUCCAGCCUCAUGACUGCCCUACUACUGGACUCUUGGGACUUUCUGUUGGGAGACGGCCAUUGUUGAACUGUAAGGAGAGAGCCACCGCAACCAGUCUGUCUUGAAGGCAACUCUCCCAUGUUUGCUCCCACAUUUUGUUAGCAGGGUUGAGUCAGUUUCACAUUCCCAGGUUUGGGGACAGGAUCCUACCCUUUCCCUCCAAAUGUUCGUGUUCUCUCUCUCUCUCUCUCUCUCUCUCUCUCUCUCUCUCUCUUUCGAGACAGGGUUUCUCUGUUUCCCUG